rnacentral:rRNA from 1 species
ACGCUGGCGGCGUGCUUAACACAUGCAAGUCGAACGAUGAAGCUAGAGCUUGCUCUGGUGAAUUAGUGGCAACGGGUGAGUAACACGUGAGUAACCUGCCCCGAACUCUGGGAUAACUGCUGGAAACGGUAGCUAAUACUGGAUACGACCUACGAAGGCAUCUUCUGUAGGUGGAAAGAAUUUCGGUUCGGGAUGGACUCGCGGCCUAUCAGCUUGUUGGUGAGGUAAUGGCUCACCAAGGCGACGACGGGUAGCCGGCCUGAGAGGGUGACCGGCCACACUGGGACUGAGACACGGCCCAGACUCCUACGGGAGGCAGCAGUGGGGAAUAUUGCACAAUGGGCGCAAGCCUGAUGCAGCAACGCCGCGUGAGGGAUGACGGCCUUCGGGUUGUAAACCUCUUUAGUAGGGAAGAAGCGAAAGUGACGGUACCUGCAGAAAAGCACCGGCUAACUACGUG